UCAUCAGAAUCUGAUCCUUGACAUCGUCUACUCUUUUACUCUCAAAAGAGCAGCAGUAAUUGGAAAUUGAAGAGGAUGAAGCUCGAUCUUUAAGGAAAAAACGAGAGAAAAGAAGUGGGCUGGUUAAUCGAAAAUUGCGCUGAAAAA
ensembl:ncRNA C13G3.5 ncRNA